CCUCGCUCGGCGGCGGCCGGGACUGAACUGACACCACACGAGCCAGCCGAGGUGUCACAUAACUUUCAGAGCACCUCUUUGAAGUUUUUUGCACUCACCUGAUAUCCCAGAUGGGAGCUCUGGCGUAAGAGGUGGUGGAAGAGGAAGUUUUCUUAUCCACCAAAUGCGGUGAUGAUGAAGAGGCGGAGGAGGAAGGCCUUAAAAGUUCUCAUCACAAGGAAAAGGAUUAUAACUAUACACACAGAGGCAUACAGCUGAAAAAUAACAUGACAAGUAUAAAUGAAUUAUCAAGACGAUCAAGCCAAGAAGCAACUGCCAGAGGUCUUUAUGGACUAUUGGAUGGAAUGUCAAUCGUUCACGUUUAAGUUUAUUGAGGGGUCAAGACCGGCCCUUUAAGAAAAACUGAUCACCUCCCUGGUAUUCAAAUUUCUAUUUAUUGACCUGACACUGAACAUCCUGUACCAUCUUCCAAACUGUGGGGAAAGACACUAAAAAGAGGUCUAUGAUUAAACUCUAUAUAAAUGUGGGUUGAACACAUGUAAACAGAAUAUAGUAGAAGCCACAGGAGAUGAAUCAGAGUUCUUCAAGAUACCUCCACAAUGAGCUAGAAGAAGAUCCUUAGGUCUAUGCACCUGCCUUAUUUUAAAUACGAUCCCUUUCAAAGUUUACAAUAUCUCUUAGGAAAGAUUACAGGGUAUAUACUCUACUAUGCAGUAGACAAGUCCUUAAAAAUAUCUGUUUAUUGUAGAAAAUUUGAAAACUGUAGGAAAUACCCCUAAUGCUAACACCAAACGCUCAGAAACA